GAAAUGCGAUAAUUAAUGUGAAUUGCAGAAUUCAGUGAAUCAUCGAGUCUUUGAACGCACAUUGCGCUCCCUGGUAUUCCGGGGGGCAUGCCUGUCCGAGCGUCAUUGCUGCCCUCAAGCACGGCUUGUGUGUUGGGCUUCCGUCCCUGGCAACGGGGACGGGCCCAAAAGGCAGUGGCGGCACCAUGUCUGGUCCUCGAGCGUAUGGGGCUUUGUCACCCGCUCCCGUAGGUCCAGCUGGCAGCUAGCCUCGCAACCAAUCUUUUUAACCAGGUUGACCUCGGAUCAGGUAGGGAUACCCGCUGAACUUAAGC
rnacentral:misc_RNA from 1 species